UCCGAUGUGGUGUAUCGGUAACAUAUCCGCCUCUCAUUAAAGCAAUAGCAUCUCAUGACGCGGUUGCGCGGGGUUCGAUUCCCCGCAUCGGAA